GACGAACGCUGGCGGCGUGCUUAACACAUGCAAGUCGAACGAUGAACCCGGAGCUUGCUCCGGUGGAUUAGUGGCGAACGGGUGAGUAACACGUGAGUAACCUGCCCUUGACUCUGGGAUAACUGCGGGAAACUGUAGCUAAUACCGGAUACGACCCUCGGCGGCAUCGCCAGGGGGUGGAAAGAAUUUCGGUCAAGGAUGGACUCGCGGCCUAUCAGCUAGUUGGUGAGGGAACGGCUCACCAAGGCCACGACGGGUAGCCGGGCUGAGAGGGGGACCGGCAGCACGAGGACGGAGACACGGCCCCGACCGCGACGGGAGGCAGCAGGGGAGCAUAUUGCGCAAUGGUCGACAGCCUGACGCAGCUACGCCGCGCGCGGGAUGACGGCCUUCCGGUUGUAAACCGCUUUCAGCAGGGAAGAAGCCGCAAGGUGACGGUACCUGCAGAAGAAGCACCGGCUAACUACGUGCCAGCAGCCGCAGUAA
rnacentral:rRNA from 1 species